rnacentral:lncRNA from 1 species
UGCUUGAGCCCAGGAGUUUGAGGCUGCAGUGAGCUAUGAUCGUGCCACUGCCCACCAGCCUGGGUGACAUAGUGAGACCCUGUCUCUAAAAAUAAAAAAAAAAUUGGGGCAAAACAAAAAUAAUGGGAGAUGUGACUUCCUGAGGAAUAGACCAAUCUAAAAGGGAAGGAAUGCUUUUUACGUUUCUUUUAAAACUACAGAUUGAAUCCUGUUUCAGUCAAAGGAGGCAGAAAGUACCUCCCUGCCAGCAGCUCACAAUCUGGCCUCCCUAGGACUAUUAGGAUCUAAUUGGAACCUCUCACUGCCUGUAACUGAAAGUAAGGGAAAGUGUGGAGGACAGAGAAACCUAUGCAAGAGCUUUUUGGAGUGGAUCUCUUUAAAUGUGGUGAUGGAGAGAGACUGUAGGUGUAAGUGGCUUUGGGCAGUAGCAGUAAGAGCUGUGUAAACUUAGGGCCAGGGGAAAUUUGUUUGGACUUAAACUGGGGAGGCUGAGGCAUGAGAAUCACUCGAACCUGGGAGGCAGAGGUUGCAGUGAGCCAAAAUCAUGCCACUGCACUCCAGCCUGGGCAACAGAGUGAGACUCUUUGUCUCAAAACAACAACAACAACAACAACAACAAAAACCCUCAUGGGCUGAGCAGUCCUUCUGGCUCAGUGGCUGUCCUAGAAAUAGGGCUAUGGUUUCAACCAGGGACCCCCAGUGGGUCCCAGUGUGGGCAGUGCCUAGAGAUCUAAGCCCUUAGCAGUGGUGUUCCUUCACCUCACAGCCUCCCUGCCCCAGAUACGUUCAGUGACCCCAGGACU